rnacentral:lncRNA from 1 species
CUUGCCCCAGUGGUAAAGACACUGAGCUCAAGUAAUACAUUCGUAUGUCAGAAAGUGUGAGUCGAAAAGAGACUUAAUAAGUGCUUAUAUGUUGGGGCUUGCCCUCUAGGACUCCUGAAGAAGCCAGGAUCUGAAGAAGCCUGAGCGAUGACCAUGUGGAGGGAGGCCCAGCUGUCCGAGUCCGUCCAGGCUUCCAGCUGCUGCCCGUUGUAGCCACAGGAGUGAACCCAGGGCAGAAUGAGGGGACAGAGAAUGAAGUGCACAUUAGAGGAGCUGGGUCUCAGUCCUCCGUUCAAACACUAAUUGGCCCAGAAGACAUCGUCAGACUAAAGCAAGACUGUCGGUUACAACUGAGAAGUGGACAAAGACCCAAGAGCUACUGACAAAGGGAAAGAAGACCAGCUCCAACAGACAUUCCACAUAGAGAAUGGCUUUGGGAAAACAGCUGCUCUUGUAGGGUUGGAGGUCAAGUUGAGAGCUCACUCCUAGGUUUCAAACAUACAAUUAAAUUUAGCUUUGUUGGGUCAUUCUGUGGUCAGGGCCGUAAGUUGAGCUUGGUCAUCCCGAGAUGAUUCUAACUUGUGCCAAGAUUCUGACCUCAUUAGACAAAACAGUCGCCAUGUUUUCGUGUACUUCUAGCAUCUAGCACAGUGCCUGGCACAAAGUAGGCACAUAAUGAAUGUGUUCUAAACGAGAGAGUGAAAGGAGCACAUUGGUCAAGGCAACACAAGAAUAAAGUGAAUAUUCAGCUACUGCGAUUCCGGUUACCAGCAGGUGGCGCUGUGUCAAUACAAAUGCUGUUGCGUGAGGAGGAGGAGGAAGACGGGAAAUUUUGUUUUACAGGAAUUCACGACUCAACUGCUGCGUAAUUGAAUUUAUUUUUUUCUACGCACUUGGUCUACCAUUGUCCCACUUGCAUGAAUAAGUUGAUUUCUGAAGGCUUAAAGACUUAAACAAGGAAAACAAGUGGAAAGAGGCUGGUCACAGAAGAGAGGUGAGCAGGUAAUGAAGGAGAUGGGAAGGAUAUUCUAAUUACCCCUAUUUCCACUCUCAUGAUGGAAAGCUGCUCCCAGCGAACACUAAGUGUUGUGAAAUUAUCCAAAGCAUUCAAAAGAAUAAGCCAUUUCAGCGAGAGGGUGGAGCCAUCCUGUAAUUUCUGUUAAUCAGCCACUGUUUCCUAUACAGACUGUCAAAU